ACAAAUCUGAGGGUAAAAAUGGAAACUAAAACUUCAGUAGAGAGUUUUAGGGUUCGAAAAAACUCCCAAGCCCCUUCUCCAUCUUUCUCAUCAUAGGGAAGGGAAGAAAGAGUCGCUUCCACAAAGAUGUCUGGCGGAUUCUUCCGGGGUACUACCGCGGACCAGGACACUCGGUUCUCCAACAAGCAAGCCAAGCUGAUGAAGAGCCAGAAAUUCGCCUCGGAGCUGGAGACUCUGGUUGAUGUGAGCAAGGUGAAGAUGGAUGUUAUGAAGCCUUGGAUUGCGACUAGAGUCACUGAGCUUCUUGGUUUCGAAGAUGAAGUCCUCAUCAACUUCAUCUACGGUCUUCUUGAUAACAAGGUCGUCAACGGUAAGGAGAUUCAGAUAGCUAUCACUGGCUUCAUGGAGAAGAACACUGUCAAGUUCAUGAAAGAGCUCUGGACUCUUCUUCUCAGCGCCCAGAGUAAUUCUAGUGGUGUCCCGCAGCAGUUUCUUGAUGCUUCUGUCGCUGAAACCAUCAAGUUUAAGGAACAAGCAAGGAAAAAAGCAGAAGCAGAUGAGAACAAUAAGUUAGUUAAUGAAAUUGGGAGGAGGAAGUGCUAUGAGGAUGACAUACAGGGGAAAAUUGACAGCGGCGUUGAACACAAGGUGACAAAUGCCAUGGAGGCAAAACCUUCAAGAGAUCGUCCAGAGGAUGAGAGAAAGGUUGAUGAGAAGGUUGGAGGAGCCAACGAAAGGAGGAGAGGUUCACGUUCGAGGUCGAUCAGCAGAACAAAUUCAGGAUCAAGAAGUUCUUCUGGUGGACGGAAAUCAAGGAGCCUGUCUCGAUCGUCAGAUGCCUCCAUCUCACCUAGAAAGCGGAGACCAUCAUAUUCAAGGCGUCGAUCCAGGUCACGUUCCUUGAGUAGGUCUCUGUCUCCUCGGCGGCGUAGGGUACGCUCUCCUUAUGGAAGCAGGUCGCGGUCACCGAUCAGACGUCACAGGUCACCAUCACCACAAAGGCGCCGCCGUGUAUCUACACCUGAGAGACGCCGCCAAUCAUCACCCCCUUCAAGGCGUCGCAGGUCACCAUCCCCACCUGUUAGGAGACGCAGGUCACCAUCCCCUCCUGCUAAGAGACGCAGGUCACCAUCCCCUUCUGCUAGGAGACGCAGAUCACCAUCCCCUCUUGCUAGGAAACGCAGAUCACCAUCCCCUCCUGUUAGGAGACGCAGGUCACCAUCACCGCCUGCUAGGCGUCAGCGGUCCCCAUUACCAUUUAGGCGGCGCAGGUCUCCUUCACCUGUAGCUAGACGGCGCAGGUCUCCAUCUCCACUCUACAGGCGUAACAGAUCACGGUCACGAUCACCACUGGCUAAGCGGGAAAGGUCUGAUUCACCAGGGAGAUCUCCGUCACUAGUGGGUAGCCGCAGGGCACCCGCUGGUCAAAGGUUACCCUCUCCACCCGCUAGGCCAAGAUUGCCUUCACCACCCGCUGGGCAAAGGUUGCCUUCACCACCUCCUAGGCGUGCAGGAUCACCAUCACCAAUGAGGCUAGGAGGACCUCAGUCAGCUAAUAAUCUUAAAUCACCAUCAUCAAGUUCACUGUCCCCUCCUGGUAGGAAAAAUGGGUUACCAUCUCCACCUGUUAGAAGGCGCAGGUCACUGACACCUGCCAGAGAGCGAGGCUCCCUAUCUCCAGCUGGACGUCCUGUGGCAAAAUCCCCUUCACAUGACAAGCAGGGUGGAUCUAUGUCCCCUGUCAGAGGUCGAGGUAGAUCUCCUCCCUCUCGACAUCAAAAAGCGCGCUCUCCUGUUCGGCGUAGAUCACCAAAACCUGUCACCCGGCGAAGUCAAAGAUCUCCAUCUGGUUCACGAUCACCUGAUGACAGCCGAAGGAGACGGUCUCCAUCUUGGAGCAGAUCUUCGUCUAGGUCUCCCUCGCCUCCUGUUCGCCGUAGACCUCCCUCACCUAGUGGAAGAAAACACCUGAGGGACAGAAGAUCUCCGGGACAUCCAUCUGAAAUGCGAGAUAGAGAGGAUAGGGAUCAAAAGUCCAAGCUGUCUAGGAAACAAUUACCAGAGACGGUACAAGAAGUUGGACGUGUUGAACAUGCUAAGGCGCAAGAGAGAAAGAGUGAAAAGUUGCCAGAGAGACGUUCUAGUCACAGAAUGCACCACGGUUCACAGAUGUCUCCAGUUUCAGAUAAGGACUUCGGUAGAGUAGAAAAUGUGGAAGGAAAGAGACAGCGUCCUUCGCAAGUUGAGAAAGAGGAUAACAGCGACCUGGAUGCAAAACUUAAUUCUGAUUCUAAGGAUAAAAAGAGAAGAAAGACUAAAAGGUCUGAGAGGGACGAAGCAGCCUCAGAUAGUAACGGCAGUUCCGACUCUGACCUUGAGGAUAGGAAGGAAGCUAAAAGGAGAAGGAAGGAGGAAAAGAAAACGAAAAAGGAGGAGAAGAAACGCAGGCGAGAGGAGAGACGUCGUAAAAGGGAAGAACGUCGGGGUGAGAAGCAGAAACUUAAGAAUCGAGAGUAUUCUGAUUCGUCAGAAGGCGAAGCUGAGAAGAGUAAAAAUGGGGAGGAGUCGGAUCCAAAGAGGCUUGAGAUUGAGUUGCGAAACAAAGCACUGGAGUCACUGAAAGCAAAGAAGGGCAUCAGCCACUAAAUCCUUAUCUCGUUAUUGAGGAGUAUCCAGCGUCAUCAACUUGAUGGCUGAUAUUACUAUGCUGCUAUUCUUGAGUACAGACUUUUGCAGACAUUUGAUGGCUCUGAUCUUCGGAUGAGUAGUGUCAACUACAGGACUUGGCUAAGAAAGUGGCUUAUCUCAUUUAUGUCUUGACUUGGUUAAGGUGAAGUACACAAUCUCUUUUCUUGUGCGUCUUAGAUUAGCAUAGGCCUGACCUUAAGCUCUUGCAAUUUUCCCGUCUUGAUUAGUUCUGGUGCUGAAUGUCCUGAGCUGUGUCUGCUUCAUUGUCCAUAGUCUCAUACUCGAGAGUUUAGCUCUUUGUCUAAUAGUAUGUUGCUAUCAAUUGUCUUUAUGAUACAUAACCGAUCUAACCAUGUGAGAAUCGGCAGGUCAUGGCUUUUGUUUGUUUGUUUUAAAUCCUAACAUAUUUUCAACCUUUUGUUCUGUUC